CGAUCGUAUUGGAUAAGUGAUGGUGACUGACAUUUGUAACAGCCAAUCAGCAGUAAGUGUGACCUAUUUUAGAGCAGGUUGGCUUUGUUGGGUCAUGCGUCACCUCCGGCCCCGCCUUUUUGGUUUUUUUGUUAUGUUGACUUGUGUUUUAGGUAUGUGUUAGCAGUUAGCUCUUCGUUUGUCUCUUUUAUAAUGUUGUGGACUAAUCGUUUGUUAUUUCAUUCUAGCCUGUCUUUUCCUUUGUUUUCUGUCGAUGGCCAUGAGUUUAAUGACUGCUGUUUAUUCAGGUAAGCGCUUAAUACUGCUAGAAAAUGGGUUGGUAUGGACGGAGUGCGCAGUUUGAAUAAUAGGCAGUUUCCUGUACCCUAGCUUGUUAUUGGUAUUACUGAGGAUGCCGAAUCCCAAUUUGUGAAUGCGUGCGAGCAUACUUUUUCCGGUUUGGAGCUGGGGUUCCACGGGUGCAGGAGCUUGAGGUGGUGGUGUCACUUCAUCAUUUGCUGUGGACACGUUUGUGUGUGCAGUGAGUGUGUCGGUGUGUGUGUGUGUGUGGUGUAAGUGUGCUUUUGGCUAAAUUCAGCACUGGUGAUCACUCCCGUGGGUGACCUCAGCCCUUUACCAUUGGAGAGUGCUGCCGGCAGUAGGUGAUGAGGAUUCAAUGUGACUUUUAAAUGGUGAAACAAUUGUGAAAAUAAAUUUUGUACUUUCAUGCUUUA